rnacentral:lncRNA from 1 species
UCACGUUCACAUGCCCGAAGCUUGCAGCGACAUGGAUUGCAGAGGCGCCACCAUUGUCUCGCAAAUACGCAGUAGAUUCAUCAUUUUGUAGCAGAAGUCUCACCAUUUCGAGGUCUCCGCGGGCGGCUGCAAAGUGGAGAGGUACGAGUCCGGCGGCAUCGGCCUUUCGGGUUAAACUGGCCCUCUGCUGCAGCAACAUCCUUGUGAUUUCCACAGCUGAUAAAUCGGAAGACGUUGGAAAAGGUUGUGGGAUCCACCAAUAAACUAAAAGCUUAUAUUAAACAUGACUAUUUAUAAUCUUUUAGAAGAUUCCAUCUUAUUUCUUUUCUGAGUUCCGUGUAUAUAAAUAAAGCAUGCGCCGUAAACUCAGGAUCUUGACUCCAAUUAUGAAAUGAAGUGUGACUAAGACUCCUAAAUCAAAAUCCUAUAUAUUUAAUAUUUCAAGAAACCCAAUAUAAAAAAUAUAUUGUCAAACCUUUCUUUUGAAAUAAACGUAAUUAAUUAUACACUAAGGAAACUACUAUUGGAACAAUCUACUGUUCUAAGUCAUAAAAAGUUGAUCCAGCAUGCAAAACACAGGCACUAUGAGAGAGAGUCUUAAUUGAAACAGAUGGAUAGUUCUAUGUCUAUAAGAUUUAACAGUACAAUUUGACACAGAGGGUUCGUGUGAUCGAUCACUUACGGGAGCUCCUGAGCACGGCUGAGUGCAAAGCUGUCCGCCCAUUAGGUCCGUCGCAUGACGCCUCCGUCGCCGCCAGCAAACGCCGCACGAUCGACGCUGACCCGCUUUCCACCGCCAUAUAGAGGGGCGACACGCCGUUGACGUUGUUGGUCGCCGCCGAUUCGCCCGGAGCCCUCGCCAUCAGUUGCUCGACGAAGGAAUCGUGGCCGUUCCGUGCCGCCUCGUGCAAGGCUGUGUUACCAACGUUGUUUACCAUGUAGGGCAGCCGACGUUCAGGAUCGCCCCGACCGGGAGGGUGAGGGAUGAAGACAUCCACCAUGGUCGUGUGGCCGGCUCUGGCAGCGCAGUGCAACGGAGUGUCUCCUUGUCGGUUUUGGAUCGUGAGGAGGAAGGGCUGCCGGCUGAGGGCUCUGGUGGCGAAGUCAGUGUGUCCUAGCUUGGCUGCAAUGUGAAGCACGGUGUUCCUUUCGGCCGUGACUUGAAGGAGGGAGUCGUUCCCUCCGAGUACGCUCAUGUCGCCCGUCCUCGCUGCCACCAACAAUUCAUGGCUCAUCGGAGUAGCGAAUAAGCCAGGGAGUGGUUCCAUGGCCUCCUCCUCUCCUUGUCGAGAUACUCUUUAACUAUUAUAAAGUAACCCAAGACGAUAUGCCGUCGAUAAGAAUGCGUUUGUGUGAUAUGGUUCUAACUCAUUCGAUGUUGAUGUCAGUGUGUCUCUAAACAGUGCGAUAAUGAAUUAAACUGAAACUUGGUAGUUGGUAAUCUUUGACCCAUUCUCCAAAACAUGUCUGAACAGAGUCAAUGUAAAACCAGCCGACUCCCAAGUCUUUCUUAUUGUGGAUGACAGUAGCUAACACAUGAUCAAGCCAUGAGAUGGUUUGGAUGGGAAGUCCCCAUCGAUCGUCCAUCAUCUGCAUAGAAUAGAAUAGAACAGCAGCACAUACAUCCCGUUCCAGUGGGAGUUUCUGAUUUCUGAUAUCUUAUGACAGUAAUUAACGCAUGAUCAAUGCAUCUCUCUCAUCCAGCGAAAGUCUUUCUGAUUUCUGUGAUGCUUGCAUAUUUAGUCACAUUGAUUUCAGUAGUGCCACAAUAAUACCUGCCUUCUCCUCUCACACAAACCACACUACUGUUUUAUGAAAAAUGAUACUUAUAACCAUGCUUUUCUAUAUACCAACAUGCAAAUGUAGUCUCUUGAUGUUAAGUUAGCACACAUUGCUAAAAUCAAAGUACAUCUUGAUUGUCACAUCAGUUCCUCCCUCUACUCUUCUAAUCUGUGAUGCGACCAUAUUAACUACCCUCUUUAGUUAUUCUUCGUUUUUGAGUUCAAUUAAUUCUUCUCCUUCUACUCCUUUGAAAUAGACCCUAUGGCCGGUGGCCUACUAGAUCUCGCUCGAGCCCCAAUUUCAUCUUUAUUCGCUUUCUUUUCGGCAUUGGUAGAUGAAACCAACAUAUUAGAUGAGAAGAAAAGAAAAAAGACUUGCAUGAUAAAAGAAGUCACGUCAAUAUAAAUGAAUGCAUUUGACCAAAUUUCAAAGUAAACCACAUAAGUUAGCCACAGAUAGUAGCUAGCUAGGGGCCUCGCAAUCAAGUUGACCAACUCAACUAUCGUGAAUCGGAACAUCUAACUCGGAUAACCAACUCAAAUCCUAUCUCAUUCUAAUCUAAUCAUAGUAUAAAUUACUCAGUGGUAGAAGAACGAUACUGUGCUGGUUGAAGUUGCAGCCAUAUAUAAAUAAAGAACCCACUGGCCGUCUUUGAGCUGUUCAUCGAAAGGUUUUAUGUUGUUAGAAUGACAGGACAUACUCGACACAUCAAAUACAAUUUGAUGCGUCAACUGCUGCCGUAAUCAGAUGGUUCUUUCUGAAUAGUUAAAUGAAAUAUUAAUAAUUCUGUCUCUAUCUGCUCUAAUCGUAGUAUAAAAUAUUCCAAGGUAAGAGAACGUAUGGAUGACAGAGCACUGCAGUCAUAUAAACAUAAAGAUUUCAGAUGUUUGAAUCCUUGUAGCCACUCCGGCAAACAGUCCAAAUUGUCGCAUCCGUUGAUCGUCAAGCUUCUGAGUUUAACACAUCGUUCCAUGUCCUGUGGCAAACACCUCAUCUCCUGGCAUCCAACUAUCGCCAAGUUCUUUAUUGGGAGGUUUUGCCAACCCUCGAAUUCAGAUGUCUGCAGCAUUUUAUUGUUCAACCAAAUACUCAACGUUGAGACCUCAAGAUCCACCUCUAAAGCUUUGAAUUUUGGACAUUGGAUCAGUGUCAAUCGACGGAGUUUCGGGAACAAAAAUUCUUUUUUUCUCUCCACCUUUAGCCAUUUUUCUAGUGCAAGCAUAUGAGACAAUGUGAAUCUUUUCAACUCCGGUAAUAUCCCAUUAUUACCAUAAAAUGCUUCAUCCACAACAUCGAUUAAAUCCAUACCACUUAUCUCAACAAUCUUAAGAUCGAGUAGUCCUCCGAGUGAUGGUAGCUUUUUACAUCUCUUAAGAUUGAUUAGUUUGAUCUCUUUCAACUUAUGGAGAUAGUUAAACUCCUCUUUUAUCCAUACAGAAAAUUCUUCACCAACAUAUAAAAUAAUUUCUAAUUUUUUCAAGUUUGGAUUGGGUUGGAGACCUUCAACUAAUUACAGCGAAACCAAUUAUGAAGUUAUCAUAUUUUUCCUAUUUAUCCAUUUCCAAUGUAACUUCAAAUACAUGAGCUACGGAAGUAUAUCAUGCAAGCUUAAAGGAGUCAAAGCAUCUUCACACUUGUUCGAGGUUUUGUAGUAUAAUUCUUUUAGAUUCGUUAACUAUUUCAAUUUUGAGAAGGCAUUUCCAAGAUCACCAAUUAUAAUAUGUCCAGACAACUUGGAGAAGACAUUUCCAAGGUUACUCGUCUAACUUAUUCCAUGUGGUAUUUGAUUCAAUGAACAUUUAUAUACAUUAAGAUUUGUCAGUUUAUUUUAUGUUAUAAGAGAAUCAACCAGCGGUACAAUAAUAAUUGUGUCAUCGUAGGUGGCAUGUGAUGAAGAAAAAUUAAAGCUGUGUCCUGGUUGUGCAUCAUUUCCUCCCACCGACGCAUAAUUAGAGCAUAAAUUUAUUGCUGCCAUCGAUUCAUUUCAGUGUAUUUGAAUAUGGAGCCAAAAUCCUUCACCUUCGUGGGAGACCAAUCAUAUAAAUAAUAGUUUCUCUUAUAGGAUAGAAUUAUCUCGUUUGCUUGCUCGUGUUGAUCAGGCCGGAUGAGUGCUUGUCUCAUGCACAAUUUUACCCACUCAUCCUCCGAUAGGCUGCUGAAUUGCCUCAUUCGGACGGAGGACCCCAAUAUAUCCAGAAUAAAAAACAAGUCAGGAAUGACCACCACGGUACCCCCGGUGCGCCGACGAGCAAUAGAAAGUUCUCCAAUUGGAGCCACUUAUCCUUGUCCUCCUCCCCUAUGUUGAGAUCAUCCAGAACGAGGAAGUGUUUGCUUCCAUGGAUUCCAGAAUAGCCAGAUGUCAUCGCUUGGCUCCCCGGUCAUUGAACUCGUGAAUUCUCUCAGAGAUUCAAUGUUUGGGACAUCCACCCGGAUAAGAUAUAUAUAAUAUAAUUAAUUAAAUUCUAAUAAAAUAUUUUGGUUAAUAGAAAAAAAAAUCUACUUAAAGUAGGAUUUCUUAGAAGAUAAUCUUGAUAGGAGGAAAUCUCAUAAUUAUUUAUCCUAGAUCCUCUACUCUCGCCUAUAAAUAUAUUAGAUCUCUAGGGACUAAAGAGAGAACAUCUCACAGAUGUUAUAGUUGAGGGAUUACAAGUCUUUCCCCAACUCUUCUUCUAAACCAUCAAUCUAUAUGAUCUUGUGAAAGGAUAAGAAAAGAUGAGAAGGAUCUAGUUCUUCUUGCAGAUUGACAGCGAUAUUAGAUUAAAGACGGUACCUUGCAGAUCAAACAGAGAUAUCUUUUCAGAUGAUAUUAAAAGGUAUGCAUCGUUAAGCUAGAUCUACAUAAAAGAUUAUUUUUGCAUCUAAUUUAACAUGUUAUAGUUUUUUAUGCUUACAUCCACUUGAGUGGCUUCGUUAGUUUCCAUGUGAGUGCCUAUUCAUUUCUUCAAAACGGUCACAUAUUAUUGUUGCCCAUUAUAUAGUGUUGGUUUUGUCAUACUAUCUUACUAUAGCAAUUCAAUAUUUGCUUUAUCCACUCUGUUAUGUUCUUAGCUAGAAUUGCUUAAAGCGAAAAAAAAAUGUUAAAAAGGUGAAUAUAGGGGUAAUUUACCAUUGUUACCUACAAAAAAAGGCAUGAUACUCGACAUUCAAAGUAACACAAAACAAUUGACCUUUAUUAGACUUGAAAGGGUAUCAAAAAUAGGCUGAGAAUGCACACAAAGGAGGUUCCGAAGAUAGAUGUAGGCCUAAUAUUUACCUAGUAUUUUUGUCGAACAGAAAGCGGAUAUACUAAAGAUGUUGCAUCACCCCAUAGACACCUACUCAAAGCCCCAUCCUCCCCAAUACAACCUGUUUUUGCCGAACAUUUCAUAUCACUAGGCCAUCAACCAAAAAUCAACUCCUAGCACGUGAGAACAGUAUAGUUUUAGGUCAUUUUCCCCUUUGGUGCCGCACAACCAAAAAUAUUUUUAAGUUUUACCUGAUAAAAACAUAAAAUAAAAACACUGAUAAUAAACAAAAAUGGGGUUAACUAUAGUGUUUUCUGCCUUGUACAAGCUGCCCUAAAGAAAACAUCAAAAAUAUGAAGAAAACAACAUAAAACAAGAAUUGAAAAUCAUCAUGGACAAGUGAUGAAUACCUUGUUUGCAUCAUUCCAUGACACUGACCGGUUGACACAUGAUUAUAAUGGUCUAAAAACUCAGGAGUUUCCCAAGUAUGUUCCAUGAAACUUUUUCUAAUAUUAUUUAAGUUAUUGGUUGAAUCCUUCUAGCCCAAAAUAGACUUAAGCAUCAAAAGAGUAUUUAUUGAGAAUGCCCCUAAUAUAGUUUUAUAAAGUUUGUCCCAACAGAGUCAGUAGGGUUCAUCAGCAUCUUCGAAAUUGAUAGGAUUCGACCUCAUCAGGAUCGAAUGGGUUUGGCACAUUCAAGGUUGAACGAGUGUGGUGUCGAUCGAGAUAAAUUAUGAUAAAUGUAAAAUGAACCUCGGAUAGCUUUGAAUAUAUAGCCAACAAAUUAUGACAAAUGUACAACCGAGUUCUAUGCUAAUAACAUAUAAGUGAUGAAAUAAAUUAGAUGCUUGAUCCAAAUUUUAGCUAUAUACCCUCAAUCUUUGUUUUGUAUAGACUAUCAGAAAUUUAGGGUUUUGUAUAGACUAUCAGAAAUUUUAGCUAUAUACCCUCAUCAAAGAUCAACAUGGUUUUGUAUAGACUAUCAGAAAUUUUAGUUCGGUUCUAGAAUUUGAAAUCAAUCAAUUAAUUUCGUUAACGAAUCUCAAACCUGUCUAUUUUUUUUAAGAUAUUUGAUGAGAAGAUAUUGUUAAGAAGAGAUUUGUAGUUAAAGACCUUAUGUGUUUCUUGUUGAUAGAACGGGACUUGUAAUGAAAAGAAAAGAUUUAAAUUUGACUAACAUUUUGAGAAAGAGAUUAUGAUGCAAGAAUGAAGAAAAAAAAAGUUGAAAAUAGAACAUUUUAUUUCCUUUACAUUUUUUUUACGUAUAUUAAAUUAGUAUGAGAAAUUUAGGGUGCACCCUUUGAGAAAUAUGAAAAAGGGCGCAUCUCCCAAGAAAAGUCUAGAAAUUCACCCAAAUUUAUUCUCAGCAAGUGUUCCGAAGGAGAAAAAAAAAUAUAAUAUACUCAAAUUCUUGAGUUUUGAACUGUUCUUAUUUGAAUAGUCACAAUCAUAUUCAUGAAAAUAUAAAAGAUCAAAAAGGAGUGGUAAAAAAAUAAAAAAAUCUUAUAAAUUAUAUUAAAAAUGCAUUUAUCAUAAUUUUAUUAUAUUAUUAAAAAGUACAUUAUAUAUUAUUACACAGAUUAGAUAAGAAAUAUUGUAUAUUAUAUAAGAUUUGGUUUAACAUAAUGUAUUGAGUGAGAAUAUUUUCAAGAAAUGAUGCCAAUGUUAAUAUUUUCUUAAAUCGGAUUUGGAAGGGAUAGUUAGUUCACAUUGCAAUUAAUUUAGUGAUCAGCAAGGGAAGAGUGGCAUUCCUUAUCAGGAUCUCUUAUCCACGUUUAGAGUUGGAAAUAACAAUACCAAGCAAGAGCCGUAAGCUCUUGAAACAAGCCCAUGUCUCGAGAUGUGUUAUUUUCAGGCCAAAGUUCUUCAAUAACAUUAACAACCUGUUUUUUGUUUUUUUAUUUCUAAAGCAAAACAUGUAUAAUUAAUAUUAAAAACAUAUAUAAUUUCCAAAUCAAAACAUGAAGCUCCGAAGAAAACCCCUCGACCCAAAAAUUUCCAUAGCCACUAACUUUAGCGUCAUUCGCUAGUCAAUUAGUUGUUCGAUUUUGCUCCAUAGACGAACGAGAGAUACUUUAGCUUCCUUAAACGAUAGCAUAUAUACAUCGAUAUCGUGCACCUCAUUAUGAAUAAAGGGUUAAGUUUGUGCAUCAAAAUUCGGACCCCACUUGAAUAUGGAGCUUCUUGAUCCGUAAACCAGAAAAUUAUUUGAAGGGGCAGGCACUUGUAUUCUAUGAUGACAAUAGAUGGAGUCCGACAAACAAGAAAAUUUUGAAUAGAGCAUUUUUUUCUGGAGCCACCGUUCCAUCACUAUCACAAAUAUGAAGUCUUACAUGAUGAAGUCGUGUGAAUUUAUAAGAGUUAGAUCUUAUGAAUUUAUAAGAGCACUUUAUUCUUUAGAUGCUCUCCUAUCGAUCGUAAAGUCUUAUGAAUUUAUAAGAGUUAGAUCUUGAAGGAUGUCAAUGAUUCGUCAAGUCUAUAGAUGUCCAUUGGCUUAAAUGUUACAGGGAAUACGAGCAUAUGCUCCCCUAUCGAUUGCAAAGUCUUGUGAAUUUAUAAGAGUUAGAUCUUGAAGGAUGUCAAUGAUUCGUUAAGUCUAUAUAUAUCCGUUGACUUAAAUGUCGCAGGGAAUAGAGAAGAUGAGUAACCUCCUAACAUUGUCUUAGUUGACAGUCGAAACACAGAGUUAUAGUCAUUAAGAGAUUGUCUUAGUUGACAGUCGAAACACAGAGUUAUAGUCAUUAAGAGAUUAAAAAGAAUGACAUCUACAAAACCUCCCUACUCCUUUAAAGUUGCACAACUUACUUAUUUAUUGCAUUCGAAAUGGUUAAAUAUGACAUUUGAAUUAUAAAUAUUUGAAGGUCUCCAACCCAACACAAAAUUAAAAAAAAUUAGAAAUCAUUUCAUAUGCUGACAAGAGAUUCCCAAUAUGAAUAAAAGCGGUUUUUUGAUGUCUCUAUAAUCUGAAAGUGAUCAAACUCAACAGAAACUAAUUGGUCUCGAUAUUAUUGAGAUAAGUGUUGGCAUAAUCAUGCGACAAGUUGCUACUUAUUGAUGAGGUGCAUCUGUCAUACAUAUAAGCACAUUGCGGAUAAUGGUCAAAUUAACAUUGUCACUUGUUGACGAGGUCAAAUUUGGAUCGUCCAUCUGUGGAAGAAGACCAUUCGAGCCUAUCUAUCACCACAGCAACAUAUUCUUCAAGUUUGCGGCGAGGCAGUGGGAUACAGGUAAUGACCACCAAUCAUCCCUCCCUCGGGUACUGCUCAGAAUUUUGUGAUGGAGAAGCCCCACACACCAGGAAACUUGAUGAAGUCUAUUGCUAAUUCAUAGUUGGCAAUUCGUAUCAUCUUAUGCCGGGCGAUCAUUAAGCUAAUGUAAAUGAUCUGGAACUCACUCCCUCUGGUCAGCCAACAUAGGUAAGGGUAGAAAGGAAGGAUCUUUCUCUUGAGGGCCAUAGCAGAGAGCAGAAUCACGAGGCAGAUGAGGAUGGUGAGCCACAUGUAGUGAUCCGCAAUCAGCACACACACACCACUGGCGAAUGCUGCCUUGAACCCUAUGAACGCGACCUGCAGUAGUAUUUCGGAUAGAGUAAGACUGUAGACCUGGGUAACAGGAGUUCCUACCCGCACAUAGAUGACGAGGAAGGGAACACAAAUGGAGGAUAUCAUGGCCAGGGCAUCAGAUAUCAGAAACACCACAAAGGCAAUCCCCCUUAUACGCCUGUAGAUGCUCUCAUCAUCGCUGCGAUCCCUCUCAAAACUCCCUGAUAAGGUGAAUGCUGCAGUGAAGGUGACGGUGGUAAUAAGCGCUGCCACGACGGGUAGACUAUCGGCGAUCUCUUUAUAGUUCUUCUCUUCGACUUUGCUCUUUUGGUCUACCGUAUGCACUGUAUGCUUACUGUCGGCUAUUUCUUUUUGAUUCUUCUCUUCAACCGUGCCCUUUUGGUCCACCGGAUGGACCAUGUCCUGAAGGAGCUGCGGGUCACUGAAUCGCGCACCCUUAUUCGUCAAAUCAAUCACUACCUUGAACUGCAAAAACAAGUAGAACCUGUUAGAUCAUUUAGACGGACACCAAGAACAGGAGUGAAGGGUUUAAAGUACGUACCAUUUUGAUUACCAGGCGGUUCCUUGUGUUGGAUAGAGCGACAUCAAGAGCGGUUUGACCGCGGUUGUUGGUUGCACUAAGCUUGACUCUUGGACUGGACGACAACAUUUGUAUGAUGGCCAUGUCUCGAGAUAUUAUAGCUCGAUGCAGGGGAGUGUUCCCAUCCGAAUCCGGCUCGUUCAAGAGAUCAGUGAGACGAGGUGAUGUAGCCACAAAUCGGACCACUUGUUCUCUUCGUUUGCUGAUGGCUACGUGGAAGAAGUUGCUGCCCUCCCCGUCCCUCACCUCCGUACAACCGGAGCAUGUUUCGAUGAGAUGUUUGAUCACGUUCACAUGCCCGAAGCUUGCAGCGACAUGGAUUGCAGAGGCGCCACCAUUGUCUCGCACAUACGCGGUAGAUGGAUCAUUUUGUAGCAGAAGUCUCACCAUUUCAAGGUCUCCGCGGGCGGCUGCAAAGUGGAGAGGUACGAGUCCGGCGGCAUCGGCUUUUCGGGUUAAACUGGCCCUCUGCUGCAGCAACAUCCUUGUGAUUUCCACAGCUGAUAAAUCGGAAGACGUUGGAAAAGGUUGUGGGAUCCACCAAUAAACUAAAAGCUUAUAUUAAACAUGAGUAUUUAUAAUCUUUUAGAAGAUUCAAUCUUAUUUCCUUUCUGAAUUACGUAUGACUAAGACUCUUAAAUCAAAAUCUUAUUAAUUUAAUAUUUCAAGAAACCCAUAUAAAAAAUAUAUUGUCAAACCUUUCGUUUGAAAUAAACGAAAUUAAUUAUACACUAAGGAAACUACUAUUGGAACAAUCUACUGUUCUAAUUCAUAAGAGAGAGUCAGUCUUAAUUGAAACAGAUGGAUAUUUCUAUGUCUAUAAGAUUUAACAGUACAAUUUGACACAGAGGGUUCGUGUGAUCGAUCGACUUACGGUGGCUCCUGAGGACGGCUGAGUGCAAAGCCGUCCGCCCAUUGGGUCCGUCGCAUGACGCCUCCGUCGCCGCCAGCAAACGCCGCACGAUCGACGCUGACCCGCUUUCCACCGCCAUAUAGAGGGGCGACACGCCGUUGACGUUGUUGGUCACCGCCGAUACGCCCGGAGCCUUCGCCAUCAGUUCCUCGACGAAGGAAUCGUGGCCGUUCAGUGCCGCCUCGUGCAAGGCUGUGUUACCAACGUUGUUUACCAUGUAGGGCAGCCGACGUUCAGGAUCGCCCCGACGGGGAGGGUGAGGGAUGAAGACAUCCACCAUGGGCGUGUGGCCGGCUCUGGCAGCGCAGUGCAUCGGAGUGUCUCCUUGUCCGUUUUGGAUCAUGAGGAGGAAGGGCUGCCGGUUGAGGACUCCGGUGGCGAAGUCAGUGUGUCCUAGCUUGGCUGCAAUGUGAAGCACGGUGUUCCUUUCGGCCGUGACUUGAAGGAGGGAGUCGUUGCCUCCGAGUACGCUCAUGUCGCCCGUCCUCGCUGCCACCAACAAUUCAUGGCUCAUCGGAGUAGCAAAUAAGCCAGGGAGUGGUUCCAUGGCCUCCUCCUCUCCUUGUCGAGAUACUCUUUAACUAUUAUAAAGUAACCCAAGACGAUAUGCCGUCGAUAAGAAUGCGUUUGUGUGAUAUGGUUCUAACUCAUUCGAUGUUAAUGUCAGUGUGUCUCUAAACAGUGCGAUAAAGAAUUAAACUGAAACUUGGUAGUUGGUAAUCUUUGACCCAUUCUCCAAAACAUGUCUGAACAGAGUCAAUGUAAAACCAGCCGACUCCCAAGUCUUUCUUAUUGUGGAUGACAGUAGCCAACACAUGAUCAAGCCAUGAGAUGGUUUGGAUGGGAAGUCCCCAUCGAUCGUCCAUCAUCUGCAUAGAAUAGAAUAGAACAGCGGCACAGACAUCCCGUUCCAGUGGGAGUUUCUGAUUUCUUAUGACAGUGCCACAAUACCUGCCUUCUCCUCUCACACAAACCACACUACUGUUUUGUGAAAAAUGAUACUUAUAACCAUGCUUUUCUAUAUACAAACAAGCAAAUGUAGUCUCUUGAUGUUAAGUUAGCACACAUUGCUAAGAUUGCCCAAAUCGAAGUACAUCUUGAUUGUCACAUCCGUUCCUCCCUCUACUCUUCUAAUCUGUUAUGCGACCAUAUUAACUGCCCUCUUUAGUUAUUCUUCGUUUUUGAGUUCAAUUAAUUCUUCUCCUUCUAAUCCUUUGAAAUAGUCCCUACGGUCGGUAGCCUAAUAGAUCUCGCUCGAGCCCCAAUUUCAUCUUUGUUCGCUUUCUUUUCGGCAUUGGUAGAUGAAACCAACAUAUUAGAUGAGAAGAAAAAAAAAAGACUUGCAUGAUAAAAGAAGUCACGUCAAUAUAAAUGAAUGCAUUUGACCAAAUUUCAAAGUAAACCACAUAAGUUAGCCACAGAUAUUAGCUAGCUAGGAGCCUCGCAAUUAAGUUGACCAACUCAACUAUCGUGAAUCGGAACAUCUGACUCGGAUAACCAACUCAAAUCCUAUCUCAAUCUCAUUCUAAUCUAAUCAUAGUAUAAAUUACUCAGUGGUAGAAGAACAAUACUGUGCUGGUUGAAGUUGCAGCCAUAUAUAAAUAAAGAACCCACUGGCCGUCUUUGAGCUGUUCAUCGAAAGGUUUUAUGUUGUUAGAAUGGCAGGACAUACUCGACACAUCAAAUACAAUUUGAUGCGUCAACUGCUGACGGAAUCAGACGGUGCUUUCUGAAUAGUUAAAUGAAAUAUUAAUAAUUCUGUCUCAAUCUGCUCUAAUCGUAGUAUAAAAUAUUCCAAGGUAAGAGAACGUACUCUACUUCGCUGGUUAAAGUCGCAGCUUUGGACAACCUUUAAUAAAGUCGACGAAGUUUCGGGAACAAAAAUUCUUUUUUUCUCUCCACCUUUAGCCAUUUUUCUAGUGCAAGCAUAUGAGACAAUAUGAGUCUUUUCAACUCCGGAAAUAUCCCAUUAUUACCAUAAAAUGCUUCGUCCACAACAUUGAUUAAAUCCAUACCACUUAUCUCAACAAUCUCAAGAUCGAGUAGUCCUCCGAGUGAUGGUAGCUUUUUACAUCUCUUAAGAUUGAUUAGUUUGAUCUCUUUCAACUUGUGGAGAUAGUUAAACCCCUCUUUUAUCUAUACAGGGAAUUCUUCACCAACAUAUAAAAUAAUCUCUAAUUUUUUCAAGUUUGGAUUGGGUUGGAGGCCUUCAAGUAAUUGUAGCGAAACUAAUUCUGAAGUUAUCAUAUUUUCCCUAUUUACCCAUUUCUAAUGUAACUUCAAAUACAUGAGUUACGGAAGUAUAUCAUGCAACUUUAAAUAAGUCAAAGUAUCUUCUGAAUUUGACACUUGUUCGAGGUUUUAUAACUAUAAUUCAUUUAGAUUCAUCAACGAUUCCAACUUUAAGAAGGCAUUUCCAAGAUCACCAACUACGAUAUGUCCAGACAACUUCAGGAGAUUACUCAUCUGACUUAUUCCGUAUGAUAUUUGAUUCAAUGGACAUCUAUAUACAUUAAGAUUUGUCAGCUUUUUCAUAUUAUUCAAACCCUCAGGCAAUUCGAUAAGCCAUUGUUAACUUUUCAGGUCUAACUCUUGCAGAUUUAUAAGGUUGGUGACCGAAAUAGGUUGCCUCUGAAGUUUUAAAACAUGCAAGUUCUCAAGAUUAUUUAUUCGCUUCGGUAGUUUCUAAAGCUUUUCAUAAUAAACUAGAUUUAAUACUCAUAAAUUUCUGAGCUUGCAUAAGGAUUUAGUAAGUGCUUGGAUCUCGGACCGGGAAAGAUUGAGGUAUCUCAAGAUAAGCAACUUGCCCACCGAAUUAGGUAGCUGUUCGACUUUGAUGACUCGUAAAUAUAAUACACAUAGAUGUAUAAGAUUGGUAAACAUACCUUCCGGAAUUUGUAGGAUAUGAUAUUUAUAUUAAAGAUCCAUCUCUUGUUGUAAUAGCAAACCUCUCAACUGAUUUAUCCCAUCGAAUAAGGUCGUCGGAAAUGUGAUCGUAUUGGAAUCGAUGAACAUACGUAAAUAAAGAUAUUGUCGUGGUAUUGUUGAAUUUGAUAAAACCCCCCUCAAGUCAUAGCAAUGUUUUGUGGUAAUAAAUAAAAAAUACAUAUCAUCAUAGACGUGGAACUCCAGAUUUGCCUUUAAUGGUGCCUUCGACGUCUGAAUACGGCAGAAAGCCUUCAGCAGCUAAGACGUGCAAGAAGUCCUCAUAAUUGGUCUUGCCAUCUUGUACGAUCAACCAGCGGUACAACACCAAUCGUGUCAUCGUAGGUGUCAUGUAAUGAAGAAAAAUUAAAGUCGUAUCCUGGUUGUGCAUCGCUUUCACCCACUGACGCAUAAUUAGAGCAUAAAUUUGUUGUUGCCAUCGAUUCAUUUCAGUAUAUCUGAAUACGGAGCCAAAAAUCUUCGCCUCCGUGGGAGACCAAUCAUUUAAAUAAUAAAAUAAUAGUUUCUCUUACAGGAUUGAAUUAUGGCGUUUGCUUGCUCGUGUUGAUCAGGCCGGAUGAGUGCUUGUCUCAUGCACAAUUUUGCCCACUCAUCCUCCGAUAGGCCGCUGAAUUGCCACGUUCGGACGGACGACCCCAAUAUAUCCAGAAUAAAAAACAAGUUAGGAAUGACCACCGCGGUAAUCCCCGAUGCGCCGACGAGCAAUAGAAAGUUCUCCAAUUGGAGCCACUUAUCCUUGUCCUCCUCCCCUAUGUUGAGAUCAUCCAGAACGAGGAAGUAUUUGCUUACAUGGAUUCCAUCGUAGAAUAGUCAAACGUCAUCGCAUGGUUCCCCGGUUAUUGAACUCAUGAAUUCUCUCGUAGAUUUAAUGUUAGGGACAUCCACCCUUUAUAACGGGAUAAGAUAUAUAUAAUAUAACUAAUUGAAUUCUAUGAAAUAUUUUGGUCAAUAGAAAAGAAAUCCACUUAAAAUAGGAUUCCUUAGGAGAUAACUUUUUGAUGGGAGGAAAUCUCUAAAUUAUUUAUCUUAGACUCUCUGCUCUCGCCUAUAAAUAGAUAAGACUUCUAGGGACUAAAGAGAGAAUAUCUCAUAGAGGUUAUAGUUGAGGGAUUAUAGUAUUCCCCCCAACUCUUCUCCUUAAACCAUCAAUCUAGGUUGUCCUGUGACAGAAUGAUCAAACAUAGAUCUCUUUUCAGAUGGCAUCAAAAGGUACGCAUUGUUAAACUAGAUCUAAGUAUUUGAUUUCAAUUCUGGUAUAAUAGAUUAUUUUUAUAUUUAAUUCAGCAUAUUAUAGUUUUUUUAUGUUUACAUCAACUUGAGUGGCUUUACUAGUUUGCAUGUGAGUGCCCAUUCAUUUUUUUCAAAACAGUCACAUAUUAUUGUUGCCCAUUAUAUAUAGUAAUGUUAAUUUUAUCAUAUUAUCUUGCUACGGCAAUUCAAUAUUUGCUUUAUCCACUCUAAUACUACUCUGUUAUGUCCUUAGCUAGAAUUGCUUAAGGCGUAUGGUAUCCAAAUGAUGAGUCCGAAAGGGUUAACCUAGACCUUAACUUUAUGCAGUAUAUAAAGAACCUGUAUAAUGAAAAAAAAUGUUAAAAAGGUGAAUGUAGGGGUAAUUUAUCAUUGUUGCAUAAAAAAGGGCAAGAUAAUCGACAUUCAAAGUAACACAAAGUAAUUGGUGUUUAUUAGACUCGAAAGGGUCUCAAAAAUAGGCAGAACGAGUGCACACAAAGGAGAUUCCGAAGGUAGAUGUAGGCCUAAUAUUUGCCACUUGGGGGGGGGGGGGUUCUAAAGUGCUGAGACAACUGAUAUUUCAUAUCGCUAGGCCAUCAACCAAAAAUCAACUGACAUUUCAUAUCGUUAGACCAUCAACCAAAAAUCAACUCCUAGCACGUGAGAACAAUAUAGUUUUAGGUCAUUUUCCGCUUUGGUGCCGCACAACCAAAAAUAUUUUUAAGUUUUACAUGAUAAAAACAUAAAAUAAAAACACUGAUAAUAAACAAAAAAGGGGUUGAGUAUAGUGUUUUAUGUCUCGUACAGGUUGUCCUAAAGAAAACAUCGAAAAUACGAAGAAAACAACAUAAAACAAGAAUUGAAAAUUAUCAUGGACAAAUGAUGAAUACCUUGUCAUGUGACUGACACAUGAUUGACACAUCAACAACCACUUUUAUGUAUCGAUCAUGAUUAUAAUGGUAUAAAAAAUCCAUUAUAAAGGAGUUUCCCAAGUAUUUUCAUGAAACUUUUUUCAAUAUUAUUAAAGUUAUUGGUUGAAUACUUCAAGUCCAAAAUAAACUUAAGCAUCAAAAAAACAUUUAUUGAGAAUGCCCCUAAAAUAGUUCUAUGAAGAACAAUAUGGUUCAACCACUUCGAAAUUGAUAGGAUUCAACCUCAUCCGGAUCCAAUGGGUUUGGCACCUUCAAGGUUGAACGAGUGUGGUGUCGAUUGAGACAAAUUAUGACAAAUAUAAAAUGAACCUCGGGUAGCUUUGAAUAUGUAGCCAGACAAAUUAUGACAAAUGUACAACCGAAUUCUAUGCUAAUAACAUAUAAGUGAUGAAAUAAAUUAGAUGCUUGAUCCAAAAUUUUAGCUAUAGACCCUCAAUCUUUGUUUCCUACACUUAUCUUGAAUAUAUUCGAUCUGAUAAUGACUUCCAUAAACGUGGUUUUGUAUAGACUAGCAUAAAUUUUAGUUCGAUUCUAAAAUUUGAAAUCAAUCAAUUAAUUUUAAGAAGAGAUUUGUAAUUAAAGACCUUUAUGUGUUUCUUGUUGAUAGGACGUGACUUGUUUGUAAUGAAAAGAAAAUAUUUAAAUUUGACUAACAUUUUGAGAAAGAGAUUAUGAUGCAAGAAUGAAGAAAAAAAAAGUUGAAAAUAUAACAUUUUCCUUCCUUUAAAUUUUUUUACUUAUAUUAAAUUAGUGUGAGAAAAUUAGGGUGCACCCUUUGAGAAAUAUGAAAAAGGUCGCAUCUCCCAAGAAAAGUCUAGAAAUUCACCCAAAUUUAUUCUCAGCGAGUGUUCCAAAGGAGAAAAAAAUAUAUAAUAUACUCAAAUUCUUGAGUUUUGAACUGUUCUUAUUUGAAUAGUCACAAUCAUAUUCAUGAAAAUAUAAAAGAUCAAAAAGGAGUGGUAAAAAAACAAAAAAAUCUUAUAAAUUAUAUUAAAAAUGCAUUUAUCAUAAUUUUAUUAUAUUAUUAAAAAGUACAUUAUAUAUUAUUACACAGAUUAGAUAAGAAAUAUUGUAUAUUAUAUAAGAUUUGGUUUAACAUAAUGUAUUGAGUGAGAAUAUUUUCAAGAAAUGAUGCCAAUGUUAAUAUUUUCUUAAAUCGGAUUUGGAAGGGAUAGUUAGAUCACAUUGCAAUUAAUUUAGUGAUCAGCAAGGGAAGAGUGUCAUUCCUUAUCAGGAUCUCUUAUCCACGUUUAGAGUUGGAAAUAACAAUACCAAGCAAGAGCCGUAAGCUCUUGAAACAAGCCCAUGUCUCGAGAUGUGUUAUUUUCAGGCCGAAGUUCUUCGAUAACAUUAACAACCUGUUUUUUGUUUUUGAAUUUCUAAAGAAAAACAUGUAUAAUUAAUAUUAAAAACAUAUAUAAUUUCCAAAUCAAAACAUGAAGCUCCAAAGAAAACCCCUCGACCCAAAAAUUUCCAUAGCCACUUACUUUAGCGGCAUUCGCUAGCAUGAUGAAGUCAUUGUGAAUUUAUAAGACUUAGAUCUUGUGAAUUUAUACAAGCACUUUAUUCUUUAGAUGCUUCCCUAUCGAUCGUAAAGUCUUGUGAAUUUAUAAGAGUUAGAUAUUGAAGGAUGUCAAUGAUUCGUCAAGUCUAUAUAUAUCCAUUGGCUUAAAUGUGGAAUACGAGCACUUUAUUCUUUAGAUGCUCCCCUAUCGACUGCAAAGUUUUGUGAAUUUAUAAGAGUUAGAUCUUGAAGGAUGUCAAUGAUUCGUCAAGUCUAUAGAUGUCCAUUGGCUUAAAUGUCGCAGGGAAUAGAGAAGAUGGGUAACCUCCUAACAUUGUCUUAGUUAACAGUCGAAACACUAUCACAGAGUUGUAGUCAUUAAGAGAUUCAAAAGAACGGCAUCUACAAAACCUCCCUACUCCUUUAAAGUUGCACAACUUACUUAUGCAUUGCAUUCGAAAUGGUUAAAUAUGACAUUUGAAUUGUAAGUAUUUGGAGGUCUCCAACACAACCCAAAAUUGAAAAAAAUUAGAAAUCAUUUCAUAUGCUGACAAGAGAUUCCCAAUAUGAAUAAAAGCGAUUUUUUGAUGUCUCUAUAAUCUGAAAGUGAUCAAACUCAACAGAAACUAAUUGGUCUCGAGAUUAUUAAGAUAAAUGUUGGCAUAACCAUGCGACGAGUUGCUACUUAUUGAUGAGGUGCAUCUGUCAUACAUAUAAGCACAUUGCGGAUAAUGGUCAAAUUAACAUUAUUACUUGUUGAUGAGGUCAAAUUUGGAUCGUCCAUCUGUGGAAGAAAACCAUUCGAGCCUAUCUAUCACCACAGCAACAUAUUCUUCAAGUUUGCAGCGAGGUAGAGUGAUACAGGUCGUGACCACCAAUCAUCCCUCGCUCGGGUACUGCUCAGGAUUUUGUGAUGGAGAAGCCCCACACACCGGGAAACUUGAUGAAGUCUACUGCUAAUUCAUAGUUGGCAAUUCGUAUCAGCCUAUGCCGGGCGAUCAUUAAUCUAGCGUAAAUGAUCUGGAACUCACUCCCUCUAGUCAACCGACAUAGGUAAGGGUAGUAAGGAAGGAUCCUUCUCUUGAGGAUUGGAAUAGAGAGCAGAAUCACGAGCCAGAUGAGGAUGAUGAGCCAGUGAUCCGCAAGAAGCACACACACACCACUGGCGAAUGCUACCGUGAACCCUAUGAACGCAACCUGCAGUAAUAUUUCGGAAAGAGUAAGACAGUUGACCUGGGUAACAGGAGUUCCUACUCGCACAAAGAUGACGAGGAAGGGAACACAAAUGGCGGUUAUCAUGGCCAGGGCAUCAAAUAUCAGAAACACCACGAAGGCAAUCCCCCUUAUACGCAUGUAGAUGCUGCCAUAAUCGCUGCGAUCCAUCUUAAAACUACUUGACAAGGUGAAUGCUGCAGUGAAGGUGGCGGUGGUAAUAAGCGCUGCCACGACGGGUAGACUAUCGGCGAUCUCUUUAUAGUUCUUCUCUUCGACUUUGCUCGUUUGGUCUACCGUAUGCACUGUAUGCCUACUGUCGGCUAUUUCUUUAUGAUUCUUCUCUUCGACCGUGCCCUUUUGGUCUGAUGGACCAUGUCCUGAAGGAGCUGCGGGUCACUGAAUCGCGCACCCUUAUUCGUCAAAUCAAUCACUACCUUGAACUGCAAAAACAAGUAGAACCUGUUAGAUCAUUUAGACGGACACCAGGAACAGGGGUGAAGGGUUGAAAGUACGUACCAUUUUGAUUCCCAGGCGGUUCCUUGUGUUGGAUAGAGCGACAUCAAGAGCGGAUUGACCGCGGUUGUUGGUUGCACUAAGCUUGACGCUUGGACUGGACGACAACAUUUGUAUGAUGGGCAUGUCUCGAGAUAUUAUAGCUCGAUGCAGGGGAGUGUUCCCAUCCGAAUCCGGCUCGUUCAAGAGAUCAGUGAGACGAGGUGAUGUAGCCACAAAUCGGACCACUUGUUCUCUUCGUUUGCUGAUGGCUACGUGGAAGAAGUUGCUGCCCUCCCCGUCCCUCACCUCCGUACAACCGGAGCAUGUUUCGAUGAGAUGUUUGAUCACGUUCACAUGCCCGAAGCUUGCAGCGACAUGGAUUGCAGAGGCGCCACCAUUGUCUCGCAAAUACGCAGUAGAUGCAUCAUUUUGUAGCAGAAGUCUCACCAUUUCGAGGUCUCCGCGGGCGGCUACAAAGUGGAGAGGUACGAGUCCGGCGGCAUCGGCUUUUCGGGUUAAACUGGCCCUCUGCUGCAGCAACAUCCUUGUGAUUUCCACAGCUGAUAAAUCGGAAGACGUCGGAAAACGUUGUGGGAUCCACCAAUAAACUAAAAGCUUAUAUUAAACAUGAGUAUUUAUAAUCUUUUAGAAGAUUCCAUCUUAUUUCUUUUCUGAAUUACGUAUGACUAAGACUCUUAAAUCAAAAUCUUAUUAAUUUAAUAUUUCAAGAAACCCAUAUAAAAAAUUAUAUUGUCAAACCUUUCGUUUGAAAUAAACGAAAUUAAUUAUACACUAAGGAAACUACUAUUGGAACAAUCUACUGUUCUAAUUCAUAAGAGAGAGUCAGUCUUAAUUGAAACAGAUGGAUAGUUCUAUGUCUAUAAGAUUUAACAGUACAAUUUGACACAGAGGGUUCGUGUGAUCGAUCGACUUACGGGAGCUCCUGAGCACGGCUGAGUGCAAAGCUGUCCGCCCAUUAGGUCCGUCGCAUG